rnacentral:lncRNA from 1 species
AUAUCAUCUUUUGUAUUUCGAUGAUUAUAGUUGUUAAAUUAAAGAAUAUGAAUGAUGUAAAAGAAUUUAUUUAAUAUCAAAGUUAUAUUUUGGGAGAAAUGAGGUAUAAAAAGAAAUGAUGUAAGAAUGUGAAUGAUCUUAAUUAUAGUUGGGUGCAUGUAUGUAAUUUAAAUUUAAUCAUAUUACUUGUUGUUGUUAGUUU